GGCGGACGGGUGAGUAAUGCCUAGGAAUCUGCCUAUUAGUGGGGGACAACGUUUCGAAAGGAACGCUAAUACCGCAUACGUCCUAUGGGAGAAAGCAGGGGACCUUCGGGCCUUGCGCUAAUAGAUGAGCCUAGGUCGGAUUAGCUAGUUGGUGAGGUAAUGGCUCACCAAGGCGACGAUCCGUAACUGGUCUGAGAGGAUGAUCAGUCACACUGGAACUGAGACACGGUCCAGACUCCUACGGGAGGCAGCAGUGGGGAAUAUUGGACAAUGGGCGAAAGCCUGAUCCAGCCAUGCCGCGUGUGUGAAGAAGGUCUUCGGAUUGUAAAGCACUUUAAGUUGGGAGGAAGGGUUGUAGAUUAAUACUCUGCAAUUUUGACGUUACCGACAGAAUAAGCACCGGCUAACUCUGUGCCAGCAGCCGCGGUAAUACAGAGGGUGCAAGCGUUAAUCGGAAUUACUGGGCGUAAAGCGCGCGUAGGUGGUUCGUUAAGUUGGAUGUGAAAUCCCCGGGCUCAACCUGGGAACUGCAUUCAAAACUGUCGAGCUAGAGUAUGGUAGAGGGUGGUGGAAUUUCCUGUGUAGCGGUGAAAUGCGUAGAUAUAGGAAGGAACACCAGUGGCGAAGGCGACCACCUGGACUGAUACUGACACUGAGGUGCGAAAGCGUGGGGAGCAAACAGGAUUAGAUACCCUGGUAGUCCACGCCGUAAACGAUGUCGACUAGCCGUUGGGGUCCUUGAGACUUUAGUGGCGCAGCUAACGCAUUAAGUCGACCGCCUGGGGAGUACGGCCGCAAGGUUAAAACUCAAAUGAAUUGACGGGGGCCCGCACAAGCGGUGGAGCAUGUGGUUUAA
rnacentral:rRNA from 1 species